rnacentral:rRNA from 1 species
UGGUCUGCGGCCUAUCAGGUAGUAGUGGGUGUAGCGUACCUACUAGCCUACGACGGGUACGGGUUGUGAGAGCAAGAGCCCGGAGAUGGAUUCUGAGACACGAAUCCAGGCCCUACGGGGUGCAGCAGGCGCGAAAACUUUACAAUGCUGGCAACAGCGAUAAGGGAACCUCGAGUGCCAGGUUACAAAUCUGGCUGUCGAGAUGCCUAAAAAGCAUUUCAUAGCAAGGGCCGGGCAAGACCGGUGCCAGCCGCCGCGGUAACACCGGCGGCUCGAGUGGUAACCGUUAUUAUUGGGUCUAAAGGGUCUGUAGCCGGCCGGAUAAGUCUCUUGAGAAAUCUGGCAGCUUAACUGUCAGGCUUUCAGGAGAUACUGUCUGGCUCGAGGCCGGGAGAGGUGAGAGGUACUUCAGGGGUAGGGGUGAAAUCUUGUAAUCCUUGAAGGACCACCAGUGGCGAAGGCGUCUCACCAGAACGGACCUGACGGCAAGGGACGAAAGCUAGGGGCACGAACCGGAUUAGAUACCCGGGUAGUCCUAGCCGUAAACGAUACUCGCUAGGUGUCGGCCACGGUGCGACCGUUGUCGGUGCCGUAGGGAAGCCGUGAAGCGAGCCACCUGGGAAGUACGGCCGCAAGGCUGAAACUUAAAGGAAUUGGCGGGGGAGCACCACAACGGGUGGAGCUUGCGGUUUAAUUGGAUUCAACGCCGGAAAUCUUACCGGGACCGACAGCAAUAUGAAGGCCAGGCUGAAGACUUUGCCGGAUUAGCUGAAAGGUGGUGCAUGGCCGUCGUCAGUUCGUACUGUGAAGCAUCCUGUUAAGUCAGGCAACGAGCGAGACCCA